GGAUACGGCCAUACUCGCUUGAAUACACCCGAUCUCGUUCGAUCUCGGAAGUUAAGCAAGCGCAGGCCGGGUUAGUACUUGGAUGGGUGACCGCCUGGGAAUCCCCGGUGCCGUAUCCU
rnacentral:rRNA from 1 species